GAUGAAGAACGUAGCGAAAUGCGAUAAGUAAUGUGAAUUGCAGAAUUCAGUGAAUCAUCGAAUCUUUGAACGCACCUUGCGCCUUUUGGUAUUCCGAAAGGCACACCUGUUUGAGCGUCAUGAAUACCUCAAUCUCCAUCUUUUCUUCGGAUUGAUGGGUGACUUGGAUGUUGAGCCCUGCUGGUAUGCUAUAUCAGCUGGCUUAAAACUUAUUAGCCGGCUCUGUACUGGAUCGGUUUGACUCGACGUGAUAAUAUUAUCGUUGAGGAUGCAUGUCUCAUGCAGCCGGAAAGUAUCAAAGCAGCUUCUAGCUUGCCUUUAGUGCACUUUUACAUUUUAGACCUCAGAUCAGGUGGGACUACCCGCUGAACUUAAGCAUAUCAAUAAGCGGAGGA
rnacentral:misc_RNA from 1 species